AUUUUUAUAUUUAUUUUAAUCUAAUGAAUAAAAAUAGAUUGGAUGAUAUAUUUGAUUGGGGUGAUUAAAAAAUUUAUUUAACUUUUUUAUUUUUGUACAUUAAUUUUUGAUUUUUUUCUUGAUUUUAUUUUUAUUUAAAUCAAAU
rnacentral:rRNA from 1 species